rnacentral:lncRNA from 1 species
CUCAGGCAACAGCCACUCAGGCAACAGUCACUCUGGCAACAGCCACUGAAGCAACAGGCACUCAGGCAACAGCUACUCUAAGCAACAGGCACUCAGGCAACAGCCACCAGGCAACAGUCACUCAGGCAACAGUCACACUGGCAAUAGCCACUCAGGCAACAGCCACUCUAAGCAACAGUCACUCAGGCAACAGCCACUCAGGCAACAGUGACUCGGGUAACAGACACUCGGGCAACAGUCACUCUAGGCACAGUCACGGUCUCCAGGAGCCAUGUGUAUUGACAUCAGAGGGUCUCUCAUUUUUACCCCUACAUCCCACCAUGACUUGGAUGGCUUGGUUUUAUUUCCAAGUCAGUAGGUUCUAAGAGCUUAACCGAGUGGCUUUCAACCUUGGCUGGGUGGCAGAACUGUGUAGGGAGCCUUUUAAAAACCCUUGCCACAGACUGGAGAAACUGCGGUGGCUGUGAGCCACUUUCUAGGUGACUCUGAGACACACUGCUCUGUCAGAAGACACCCCACGACCACAGCCACAGUUCGGUCCAGCACCUUGGAUUUGAGCCUUUUGAAAAAUCACCUGGGGGAGUAAACCCGUGGAGAAGAACCCCACUUAAGAUCUCUGCUCUCAAGGCUUUUAUGGUGGGGACAUCCUUCGACCUGUCAAUGAAACGAAGACAAUUUGGUUUUUCCUGUCUUUAGCCGACUCUCAAUACCGCUUCUGGACCUCGUCCUUCAGUGUGUCUCUUGUCAUUAGCCGAUGACUUCAGAACCCGUGCUGUAUUUGAGUGGUGUGGGAGCUAUGGACAGACUUUUAAUCUUUAUCUCCGCCUGUGAGCAGUACUCACCUGCCUGUGAGUGACAUUAACACCUGCUUCAUCCAUAAGGUACUAAAUGAGCUCCUACUGAUCUUGUUUGGUUUUGUUUUGUGUUUUGUUUUGUGUUUUUGAGACAUGGUUUCUC